rnacentral:rRNA from 1 species
GACGAACGCUGGCGGCGUGCUUAACACAUGCAAGUCGAACGAUGAAGCGGUGCUUGCACCGUGGAUUAGUGGCGAACGGGUGAGUAAUACGUGAGUGACCUACCUUUGACUCUGGGAUAAGCCUGGGAAACUGGGUCUAAUACCGGAUACGACCAAUCUCUGCAUGGGGUGUUGGUGGAAAGCGUUAUGGAGUGGUUUUAGAUGGGCUCACGGCCUAUCAGCUUGUUGGUGAGGUAAUGGCUUACCAAGGCGACGACGGGUAGCCGGCCUGAGAGGGUGACCGGCCACACUGGGACUGAGACACGGCCCAGAGUCCUACGGGAGGCAGCAGUGGGGAAUAUUGCACAAUGGGCGCAAGCCUGAUGCAGCGACGCCGCGUGAGGGAUGACGGCCUUCGGGUUGUAAACCUCUGUUAGCAUCGAAGAAGCGAAAGUGACGGUAGGUGCAGAGAAAGCGCCGGCUAACUACGU